GGAUUUAACUUUGUAUGUGAUCUAUCGUGUGGGUCACCACUGCAAAUAAGGAGGUAAAAAUGCCUGUUAUAACCCUUC
rnacentral:misc_RNA from 1 species